rnacentral:rRNA from 1 species
AACGGGUGGUAAUGCCGGAUGCUCCGACUCCUCGCAUGGGGUGUCGGGAAAGAUUUCAUCGGUAUGGGAUGGGGUCGCGUCCUAUCAGGUAGUCGGCGGGGUAACGGCCCACCGAGCCUACGACGGGUAGCCGGCCUGAGAGGGCGACCGGCCACAUUGGGACUGAGAUACGGCCCAGACUCCUACGGGAGGCAGCAGUGGGGAAUAUUGCACAAUGGGCGCAAGCCUGAUGCAGCGACGCCGCGUGCGGGAUGACGGCCUUCGGGUUGUAAACCGCUUUUGAUCGGGAGCAAGCCUUCGGGUGAGUGUACCUUUCGAAUAAGCACCGGCUAACUACGUGCCAGCAGCCGCGGUAAUACGUAGGGUGCAAGCGUUAUCCGGAAUUAUUGGGCGUAAAGGGCUCGUAGGCGGUUCGUCGCGUCCGGUGUGAAAGUCCAUCGCUUAACGGUGGAUCUGCGCCGGGUACGGGCGGGCUGGAGUGCGGUAGGGGAGACUGGAAUUCCCGGUGUAACGGUGGAAUGUGUAGAUAUCGAAA